rnacentral:rRNA from 1 species
GUCUACGGCCAUAUCACCCUGAACACGCCCGAUCUCGUCUGAUCUCGGAAGCUAAGCAGGGUCGGGCCUGGUUAGUACUUGGAUGGGAGACACCAGAAUCUGACAGUAGUCU